AAGUUUCCACGACAUCUCGACUACUAGGCGCCCAGGGAGACAAGGAGUUCGAUAAAUUCCAUUCUUGACACGAUGAGCUACGAAACAGCGUAGAUGCGUAGCUAAAUAAUAAUAAUAAAUGAUGCAAUGCAAUUGAUGAAGGUAUAUUAUCAAGAUUUAAUUAAGUAUAUAAGUGAAAAAUUGCUAAGAUAUUUGUACUAAAUUUUUAAACGACUUUACAUCUUCAAAUUAAUUCGAAAUGAAUUAAUUAAGUAACAAAAUUCCUGAACCCUAUGGUUGCACCCUCCUUUUUAUUAUUUACCUAGUACUAGUGUGAUUUGGGAAUAAUUUUGAUUCGGCUUUAUAAAACAAUUAUUGUUACAUAUAUUUCUAAUUCGAACGAGGAUAGAGCCAAGGAGUUAAUAAUACCAUAUCGUCAACUAUCUGUUUUAUUUAAUUUCGCUACUCCGUGUAUCGUGUAGGCGUGUAGGGAAGGUGAAGGGGUCGCGUAGACAGCGACAUGAUGGGGUGGGUGAAAAUCGAUAUGGCCCCCGCAAUUCGGCGCAUGCGUACUCCUCAGCUCCAGCUACGUCAAACUUGUGUCGCGAUGAACUCCUAGCUCUACUGCGAUCCUGGUACCGCCGCCCACAACUCUGAAAUUUUCCUGCCCUGCUCACCAGGUUUCCGGAAGUGGAAACCUUCAACUUCCGCUGUAUAGGGCGGUAACGUUUUCAGGAAAGCUCUCUGAAAGAUGAAGGCUAUGAUGAAAAUGGAAUCGUGUUCCUGUAUAACCUGGCUAGUUUCGCGUGUUCUCCGGUUUGAGGUUAUGUUUCUGCGCAUCUGCUUUGCGCAGCUCAACAAGUUGGCUAUGACACACGUGUCUUCUUAUUAUUAUUUGGUUAAAACACAAUGAGGCCGGCGAUUGCUUUCGGCAUUAUAGUUUUUGUGUACUACAUUUUACCAAUAUCUAUAAUAAUGAAAUCGAGAAAUAACUAUUCUAUCUUAAAAAAAAAUUCUAUUUUCAAAACAGAACGUCGUUUAAUCAUGCAAUUAUCUCGCUAAACGUAUUCAGACCAGAUUUGUCUGGAGUCAAGAAGAGUGUUGAAUGCGAAUUGAAUGAAAAGUGAUAGAGAUACAGGCAACCUAUAUCAUUGUGCAAGUUUCAAUAUAAACCUUACAAGAUUGAUAGUAACGCGAAUAGCUCAGCGACUGGUGCGCUACAGUACUAGCUAUCGCAGUUUCUAGUUUUGUCUGAGGGCAAUUUUCCUUCUACUAUUAUAAAAGUUUAUACGGCUUUACAAAUAUUUGCCCAUAUUUGCGAAGCGACGCAAAGACGUUGUUGAUGACAAUGACGUACAUUUAAAAAUAUUAAACGAGGAAGAAGAUAGUGAUGGAGAAUAUAACGAGUGUUUCUGUAAGUUUAAAAGAAUAAAAAUUGGAACGCUGCUGUCUGUCUCAGGCGGCUAGUGAGGGCUAGAUCUAAGUUUCGUUAUUUUUAUGGCAAUGGGUAGAUGUGAGAUGCUUAUUCUUUGAGAAGAUUUAUAUAUAAUUUAUGAAAUGACUAAAGGUCUUUUUUGUGCGGCUGCAACGCUCUCUAUUUGUUUUCGUAUCUUAUAAAAAAAUAUAAAAUGUCUUGAUUGAUAACAGGACUAAAUUCAGAAUUAUAGUAACUAUAAUUACAAUCCGAUAAGGUCCAGUGGCUAGGAUACCUGGCUCUCACCCAGGAGGUUUGGGUUCGAUUCCCGGUAUCGGAAUUUGUGCGGCGCCUUUUGAAGAGCUCGAUCUCGAUCUCGAUCUCGAUCUCGAUCGAUCACAGGUUAAGCUAUGCUUGACGUCCGUAGAUGGGUGACCAUCUUUGUCAU